CGAACAAAGGGAAGCGAGACUGCAAAGUGGAGCGAAACCCAGAAAAGUACUCUCAGUUCAGAUUGUGGGCUGCAACCCGCCCACAUGAAGUUGGAGUUGCUAGUAAUCGCGGAUCAGCAUGCCGCGGUGAAUACGUUCCCGGGCCUUGUACACACCGCCCGUCACACCAUGGGAGUUGGGAGCGCCCGAAGCCGGUGAGGUAACCGAGAGGAGCCAGCCGUCGAAGGUGAGACCAAUGACUGGGGUGAAGUCGUAACAAGGUACC
rnacentral:rRNA from 1 species